rnacentral:lncRNA from 1 species
AAAAUCAUCACUGCACCCAAAAUCAGCACACUUUAUUUCUCAUUUAUCCCUCUGUUGGCGAUUACACAAGUACAGAAACGGCUUGGGGAAAGAAACUCAAUACAGAGAUGUCUCACUAGACUCGGCAAGAACAAAGAUACUUUCAGGUUGCAUAACGAAACUGGCUCCAACCCCGAUGAUCAUUCGCAGAGACGCAUUCACUCAGACGGAGAUCUCGAUGGCCUUCACCUCGGGCUUCUUGACCUCGGCCUUGGGCACGGUGACGGUGAGCACGCCGUUCUCCAGCCCGGCCUUCACCUCCCCCACCUUGGCGUCCUCCGGCAGCCGGAACCGCCUGACGAACUUGCCGCUGCUGCGCUCCACGCGGUGCCACUUGUCGUUCUUGUCCUCCUCCUCCUUUGUGCGCUCGCCGCUGACGACGAGCACGUUGCCGUCCUCCACCUCCACCUUGACCUCCUCUUUCUUCACGCCUGGGAGGUCGGCCUUGAAGACGUGCGCCUCAGGCGUCUCCUUCCAGUCCACGCGAGCAUUGGCGAACGCGGCCGUCUCGCUGCUGCCGCCUGAGAUCGCCGGGACGAUGGAGCGGAAGGUGUCGAAGGGGUCCGCCCAGAGGUCGGCGAAGGGGUCGAACACGUUGCUCCGCCGCACGAUCGACAUUGCCGGUGUUGCUUGCUUUGACUCUUGCGCUAGGAAAAUUCUGUAUUGGAUCGUAGGUAGGUUGGGGUUGCUGUCUGCUUUUGGUUGACACUGGCUUGAGUUGGGAUGGAGGGGGAUGGGAGGCCAUGUACUUAUAGCAUCGCCGGGUGAUGCUCCUGAAGCGUCUCGAGGUCUCUCCAGUCGACGAGAGUUCAGUAGUACUUUAUCACUUUCCAGCUGGGCCGUGAGCUUCCCUUUCUUUCUAUUUUCGGCCCAGGAAGAAACCACCAUGUUCUAGAGCCUUCUCCUUUAUUUUGCUUUGUAGGCACACUCUGGAAUGUGAUGGGGUCUUUUCUAGAAGAAGACAUGGAGAACUCGAGACGCCUCAGGAAUGCACCGAGCAUACGGCUCGCACGGGAGCUGAGACCAACCGAGAAGAGCACCAAUCAAAGACCAAAUCAACAAUCCUAAUAAAACACUCACAGUCACUUGUCAGUGCACAUAUCCACCGUUCGACAGUUCACACACAGUGAGAGAAGACGACAGAAAUAAGCUCUGUUCGUUUGCUGCAGUUGUUGUGUGCAUGCUGCCGUCAUUUCUUUGAAGCUCCCAAGGAAUAGAGGCCUAGCAGGGCUCUGAACUUUUUUUCACUUACAAUGGACCCUGCAUGUAAAGGUCACAUCACGUCAUGGGUCCCGCAUAACAUUGUCGGAACAAACAUUCUAUUUAAACAUUUUAAUUAAAGCAGUCAAGAAUCCAUUUUUUUUGUGGAUUUUUGAAAAAUUUCACAUUUUUUUAAAAGCAUUCACGAAUUAACACAAUGUUUUCACAUUUUAAAAAAUAACAAUGAAUUCUACAAAAUUGUUCAUGAGAUUUAGAAUUGAUCAAGAUUUUUUAAAUGUUCAUUAAUUCUAAAUAAUGUUUGCGUUUGUGGCUGCAUGCAUCACCCAGAUGCAGAGGCCGGGGGUCUUCCUCCUUUUCAAAAAAAAAANNNNNNNNNNNNNNNNNNNNNNNNNNNNNNNNNNNNNNNNNNNNNNNNNNNNNNNNNNNNNNNNNNNNNNNNNNNNNNNNNNNNNNNNNNNNNNNNNNNNNNNNNNNNNNNNNNNNNNNNNNNNNNNNNNNNNNNNNNNNNNNNNNNNNNNNNNNNNNNNNNNNNNNNNNNNNNNNNNNNNNNNNNNNNNNNNNNNNNNNNNNNNNNNNNNNNNNNNNNNNNNNNNNNNNNNNNNNNNNNNNNNNNNNNNNNNNNNNNNNNNNNNNNNNNNNNNNNNNNNNNNNNNNNNNNNNNNNNNNNNNNNNNNNNNNNNNNNNNNNNNNNNNNNNNNNNNNNNNNNNNNNNNNNNNNNNNNNNNNNNNNNNNNNNNNNNNNNNNNNNNNNNNNNAUAUAUAUAUAUAUAUAUAUAUAUAUAUAUAUAUAUAUAUAUAUAUAUAUAUAUAUAUAUAUUAUUUCUUCCUGUGGUCCUGUCUUGUUUGAUUGGAUAGAAAUUUUGCUCCAAAAUAGGUUGCAAAUAUGAAUUUUAUGGAAUAUUCUCUAAGGGCAUCUUCAAAGCGGACCCUUAAACCCUUGCAAGCAUUUGGACUGCACUUUUUUUGGAUCCAGUUUGCCAUCCAACGCAGUCCCGCAUCAGUCCGCCGACACGUCCGGACGUUCGUUCUUCCGUAAAUUGGAACCAAACAAAGAGAGCUUUGCUGGAGUCCGGACAUCCAUCUGACCAAUCAAAAUCCACCAUGCACCAUCUCUACUCUGCUUCCGCCCAUGAUGGCUACCAUUUAGUGUAGUGACUUAUUCUAAUUGGAGCGGAUAGCUAGCAUUUUGAUGGAAUCGUAGUACUGCAUAGUAUAUUUGCAUUUGACGGAAGGUGCUAAUUAGUAUAUUCUUUAUUAUGCAAAUUAUGCAGUCAUUUGGUGAAAGGUGCUUUUUUUUUGUGCACUAGUUGCAGCGCCUGUUGGGGAUCGUAGCAGAAUUUUAAAAUUUCCUACGCAUCACCAAGAUCCAUCUAUGGAGUAUACUAGCAACGAGGGGAAAGGAGUGCAUCUACAUACCCUUGUAGAUCGCGAGCGGAAGCGUUCUAAUGAACGGGGUUGAUGGAGUCGUACUCGCCGUGAUCCAAAUCACCGAUGACCGAGUGCCGAACGGACGACACCUCCGCGUUCAACACACGUACGAAGCAGCGACGUCUCCUCCUUCUUGAUCCAGCAAGGGGGAAGGAGAGGUUGAUGGAGAUCCAGCAGCACGACGGCGUGGUGGUGGAAGUAGCGGGAUCCCGGCAGGGCUUCGCCAAGCGCAAGCGGGGGGGAGAGGUGUUGCAAGGGGAGAGGGAGGCGCCAGGGGCUGUGUUGCUGCUGCCCUCCCUCCCCCCCACUAUUUAUAGGGGCCCUGGGGGGGCGCCGGCCCCCAGGAGCUCCCAUCUGAGGGGGGGGGGGGGCGGCGGCCAAGGGGGGUGGCUUGCCCCCCAAGCCAAGUGAGGCGCCCCCACCCUUAGGGUUUCCAACCCUAGGCGCAGGGGGAGGCCCAAGGGGGGCGCCCCAGCCCACUAGGGGCUGGUUCCCCUCCCACUUCAGCCCAUGGGGCCCUCCGGGAUAGGUGGCCCCACCCGGUGGACCCCCGGGACCCUUUCGGUGGUCCCGGUACAAUACCGAUAACCCGCGAAACUUUCCCGGUGGCCGAAACUGGACUUCCUAUAUAUAAUUCUUCACCUCCGGACCAUUCCGGAACUCCUCGUGACGUCCGGGAUCUCAUCCGGGACUCCGAACAACUUUCGGGUUUCCGCAUACUAAUAUCUCUACAACCCUAGCGUCACCGAACCUUAAGUGUGUAGACCCUACGGGUUCGGGAGACAUGCAGACAUGACCGAGACGCCUCUCCGGUCAAUAACCAACAGCGGGAUCUGGAUACCCAUGUUGGCUCCCACAUGUUCCACGAUGAUCUCAUCGGAUGAACCACGAUGUCGAGGAUUCAAUCAAUCCCGUAUACAAUUCCCUUUGUCAAUCGGUACGUUACUUGCCCGAGAUUCGAUCGUCGGUAUCCCAAUACCUUGUUCAAUCUCGUUACCGGCAAGUCACUUUACUCGUACCGUAAUGCAUGAUCCCGUGGCUAACUCCUUAGUCAUAUUGAGCUCAUUAGGAUGAUGCAUUACCGAGUGGGCCCAGAGAUACCUCUCCGUCAUACGGAGUGACAAAUCACAGUCUCGAUCCGUGCCAACUCAACAGACACUUUCGGAGAUACCCGUAGUGUACCUUUAUAGUCACCCAGUUACGUUGUGACGUUUGGCACACCCAAAGCACUCCUACGGUAUCCGGGAGUUGCAUGAUCUCAUGGUCUAAGGAAAUGAUACUUGACAUUGGAAAAGCUCUAGCAAACGAACUACACGAUCUUUUGUGCUAUGCUUAGGAAUGGGUCUUGUCCAUCACAUCAUUCUCCUAAUGAUGUGAUCCCGUUAUCAAUGACAUCCAAUGUCCAUAGUCAGGAAACCAUGACUAUCUGUUGAUCAACGAGCUAGUCAACUAGAGGCUUACUAGGGACACGUUCUGGUCUAUGUAUUCACACAUGUAUUACGAUUUCCGGAUAACACAAUUAUAGCAUGAACAAUAGACAAUUAUCAUGCACAAAGAAAUAUAAUAAUAACCAUUUAUUAUUGCCUCUAGGGCAUAUUUCCAACAGUCUCCCACUUGCACAAGAGUCAAUAAUCUAGUUACAUUGUGAUGAAUCGAACACCCAUAGCAUUCUGGUGUUGAUCAUGUUUUGCUCUAGGGAGAGGUUUAGUCAACGGAUCUGCUACAUUCAGGUCCGUAUGUACUUUACAAAUAUCUAUGUCUCCAUUUUGAACACUUUCACGAAUGGAGUUGAAGCGACGCUUGAUAUGCCUGGUCUUCCUGUGAAACCUAGGCUCCUUGGCAAGGGCAAUAGCUCCAGUGUUGUCACAGAAGAGAGUCAUCGGGCCCGACGCAUUGGGAAUCACCCCUAGGUCGGUAAUGAACUCCUUUAUCCAGACUGCUUCCUGUGCUGCCUCUGAGGCCGCCAUGUACUCCGCUUCACAUGUAGAUCCCGCCACGACGCUUUGCUUGCAACUGCACCAGCUUACUGCUCCUCCAUUCAAAAUAUACACGUAUCCGGUUUGUGACUUCGAGUCAUCCAGAUCUGUGUCGAAGCUAGCGUCGACGUAACCCUUUAUGACGAGCUCUUCGGCACCUCCAUAAACGAGAAACAUAUCCUUAGUCCUCUUCAGGUACUUCAUGAUAUUCUUGACCGCUGUCCAGUGUUCCAUGCCGGGAUUACUUUGGUACCUUCCUACCAAACUUACGGCAAGGUUUACAUCAGGUCUGGUACACAGCAUGGCAUAGAUAAUAGACCCUAUGGCCGAGGCAUUGGGGAUGACACUCAUCUUUUCUCUAUCUUCUGCCGUGGUCGGGCAUUGAGCCGUGCUCAAUUGCACACCUUGCAAUACAGGCAAGAACCCCUUCUUGGACUGAUCCAUAUUGAACUUCUUCAAUAUCUUGUCAAGGUAUGUACUCUGUAAAAGACCAAUGAGGCGUCUUGAUCUAUCUCUAUAGAUCUUGAUGCCUAAUAUAUAAGCAGCUUCUCCAAGGUCCUUCAUUGAAAAACACUUAUUCAAAUAGGCCUUUAUACUUUCCAAGAAUUCUAUAUCAUUUCCCAUCAAUAGUAUGUCAUCCACAUAUAAUAAGAGAAAUGCUACAGAGCUCCCACUCACUUUCUUGUAAACACAGGCUUCUCCAUAAGUCUGUGUAAACCCAAACGCUUUGAUCAUCUCAUCAAAUCGAAUGUUCCAACUCCGAGAUGCUUGCACUAGCCCAUAGAUGGAGCGCUGGAGCUUGCAUACCUUGUUAGCAUUCUUAGGCUCGACAAAACCUUCCGGCUGCAUCAUAUACAAUUCUUCCUUAAGAAAGCCGUUAAGGAAUGCCGUUUUGACGUCCAUUUGCCAUAUCUCAUAAUCGUAGAAUGCGGCAAUUGCUAACAUGAUUCGGACGGACUUCAGCUUCGCUACGGGUGAGAAAGUCUCAUCGUAGUCAACCCCUUGAACUUGUCGAUAACCCUUAGCGACAAGUCGAGCCUUAUAGAUGGUCACGUUACCAUCCGCGUCUGUCUUCUUCUUAAAGAUCCAUUUAUUUUCUAUGGCUCGCCGAUCAUCGGGCAAGUUAGUCAAAGUCCAUACUUCGUUUUCAUACAUGGAUCCUAUCUCGGAUUUCAUGGCUUCUAGACAUUUGUCGGAAUCCAGGCCCACCAUCGCUUCUUCAUAGUUCGAAGGUUCACCGUUGUCUAACAACAUGAUUUCCAGGACAGGGUUGCCGUACCACUCUGGUGCGGAACGUGUCCUUGUGGACCUACGAAGUUCAGCAGUAACUUGAUCCGAAGCUUCAUGAUCAUCAUCAUUAACUUCCUCCCCAGUCGGUGUAGGCCCCACAAGAACAUCUUCCCGCGCUGCGCUACUUUCCAGUUCGGAAGGGGUGAUUAUCACCUCAUCAAGUUCCACUUUCCUCCCACUUAAUUCUUUCGAGAGAAACUCUUUCUCCAGAAAGGACCUGUUCUUGGCAACAAAGAUCUUGCCUUCGGAUCUGAGGUAGAAGGUAUACCCAAUGGUUUCCUUAGGGUAUCCUAUGAAGACGCAUUUUUCCGACUUGGGUUCGAGCUUUUCAGGUUGAAGUUUCUUGACAUAAGCAUCGCAUCCCCAAACUUUUAGAAACGACAGCUUAGGUUUCUUCCCAAACCAUAAUUCAUACGGUGUCGUCUCAACGGAUUUCGACGGAGCCCUAUUUAAAGUGAAUGCGGCAGUCUCUAAAGCAUAGCCCCAAAAUGAGAGCGGUAGAUCGGUAAGAGACAUCAUAGAUCGCACCAUAUCCAAUAGAGUGCGAUUACGACAUUCGGACACACCGUUUCGCUGAGGUGUUCCAGGCGGCGUGAGUUGUGAAACAAUUCCACAUUUCCUUAAGUGCGUACCAAAUUCGUGACUUAAAUAUUCUCCACCACGAUCUGAUCGUAAGAACUUUAUUUUUCUGUCACGUUGAUUCUCAACCUCACUCUGAAAUUCCUUGAACUUUUCAAAGGUUUCAGACUUGUGUUUCAUUAGGUAGACAUACCCAUAUCUACUUAAAUCAUCAGUGAGAGUGAGAACAUAACGAUAGCCACCGCGAGCCUCAACACUCAUUGGACUGCACACAUCAGUAUGUAUGAUUUCCAAUAAGUUGGUUGCUCGCUCCAUUGUUCCGGAGAACGGAGUCUUGGUCAUCUUACCCAUGAGGCAUGGUUCGCACGUGUCAAAAGAUUCGUAAUCAAGAGACUCCAAAAGUCCAUCUGCAUGGAGCUUCUUCAUGCGCUUGACACCAAUGUGACCAAGGCGGCAGUGCCACAAGUAUGUGGGACUAUCGUUAUCAACUUUACAUCUUUUGGUAUUCACACUAUGAAUAUGUGUAACAUCACGUUCGAGAUUCAUCAAGAAUAAACCAUUGACCAGCGGGGCAUGACCAUAAAACAUAUCUCUCAUAUAAAUAGAACAACCAUUAUUCUCGUAUUUAAAUGAGUAGCCAUCUCGAAUUAAACGAGAUCCUGAUACAAUGUUCAUGCUCAAAGCUGGCACUAAAUAACAAUUAUUGAGGUUUAAAACUAAUCCCGUAGGUAAAUGUAGAGGCAGCGUGCCGACGGCGAUCACAUCGACCUUGGAACCAUUCCCGACGCGCAUCGUCACCUCGUCCUUUGCCAGUCUCCGCUUAUUCCGCAGUUCCUGUUUUGAGUUACAAAUAUGAGCAACCGCACCGGUAUCAAAUACCCAGGAGUUACUACAAGUACUGGUAAGGUACACAUCAAUUACAUGUAUAUCACAUAUACCUUUGGUGUUGCUGGCCUUCUUGUCCGCUAAGUAUUUGGGGCAGUUCCGCUUCUAGUGACCAUUUCCCUUGCAAUAAAAGCACUCAGUCUCAGGCUUGGGUCCAUUCUUCGACUUCUUCCCGGCAACUGGCUUACCAGGCGCGGCAACUCCCUUGCCGUCCUUCUUGAAGUUCUUCUUACCCUUGCCUUUCUUGAACUUAGUGGUUUUAUUCACCAUCAACACUUGAUGUUCCUUUCUGAUCUCCACCUCCGCUGAUUUCAGCACUGAAUAUACCUCAGGAAUGGUCUUUUCCAUCCCCUGCAUAUUGAAGUUCAUCACAAAGCUCUUGUAGCUUGGUGGAAGCGACUGAAGGAUUCUGUCAAUGACCGCGUCAUCCGGGAGAUUAACUCCCAGCUGAGACAAGCGGUUGUGUAACCCAGACAUUCUGAGUAUGUGCUCACUAACAGAACUAUUUUCCUUCAUUUUACAGCUGAAGAACUUGUCGGAGACUUCAUAUCUCUCGACCCGGGCAUGAGCUUGGAAAACCAUUUUCAGCUCUUCGAACAUUUCAUAUGCUCCAUGCUUCUCAAAACGCUUUUGGAGCCCCGGUUCUAAGCUGUAAAGCAUGCCGCACUGAACGAGGGAGUAAUCAUCAGCACGUGAUUGCCAAGCCUUCAUAACGUCUUGGUUCUCUGGGAUGGGUGCUUCACCUAGCGGUGCUUCUAAGACAUAAUCUUUCUUGGCAGCUAUGAGGAUGAUCCUCAGGUUCCGGACCCAGUCCAUAUAGUUGCUGCCAUCAUCUUUCAGCUUGGUUUUCUCUAGGAACGCGUUGAAGUUGAGGACAACGUUAGCCAUUUGAUCUACAAGACAUAUUGUAAAGAUUUUAGACUAUGUUCAUGAUAAUUAAGCUCAUCUAAUCAAAUUACUCCAUGAACUCCCACUCAGAUAGACAUCCCUCUAGUCAUCUAAGUGACGAUAACCGAGAACCACACAGAUGACCAAGUCGAUGAUGCCACUGUUUGAAGGAACCAGUAACAGAGGCGACGGCAGCGGAGGGACUGGCGAUGGUGGUGGCAGCGGAAGGAACAUGAAGCCAGUCCAACUCCCAAAGACCCUGAGAAUCACGGCGGCGAGGGCCAGCCCCAACCAGAGUGUGCGUGCGACGAUCCUGGGCAGAACAAGAGUCAGCAUCAAGGAUGACACGACAACCAGAAUCAGUAAGUUGACCAGCAGAAAACAAAUUCAUGGUAAGUCGAGGAACAUGAGCAACAUCAGGAACAGAAUAAGAAAGAGUGGAAAGAUGGCCUCUACUAGCAACAGAAAGUGGAGUACCAUCAGUAGUGACGACAUGAACAGGAGAAUCCAGCGAUCGAAGAGAGGACAAAACGGAAGAAUGAGAAGACAUAUGAAAAGAAGCUCCAGAGUCCAGAACCCAUGGGGAUGUACCUGACUGUGUAGAGGGCGGGUGCUCAGUGCGGGAAGCAUCAGUCACAGAACCAGCAGUACCCGUCGAGGAAGAACCUGAAGCCGCGAGCAGACGCUUAAGUCUCAGAAUAUCCUGCUCAGUCAAAGCAAUGGCUGAAGCUGGCGAGGGAGAUGAAGUCCCUGAGGAGGAUGAUCGCGCCUUGCGCAGGUGUUUCCGCUUUGUGUAGCACUGGGACUCAAUAUGACCAUCAUUGUUGCAGUAGUCACAGUGUGGACGGGGGCGACCUGAGCCUCCAGAAGGAGUGGGCAAGAGCGGCGGAGCACUCGAGCGAGAAUGGGGCGGUGCAGCAGGUGGAGUGGAAGAAGCCCGAGUAGCGAGCACAGAGGGAACCUCCAGCAAACCAGCACCACGUAGGCGAGUCUCCUCAGCACGAAUCUCUGAAAGCGCCUCCAUGAGAGAAAUACGGCCACGAGCAAACAACUGAGCACGCCGAGGCUCAAACUCCUUACGGAGCCGAGACAGGAACUCGUAGACGCGAUGAAACUCCAAAUCGGCUUGGAUAGCCUGGCAGCAGGGGCAAGUACGACAACCAGCACUGCGGAGAGAAUCAAGCAGACGCCAGAUAGCAGAACUCUGUGCAUAAAAGUCAUCAACAGUAGAGUCACCCUGCUGAAGAGCAUGCUCCUGAUGAACCACAGAAAGAUAUAAGGCAUCACCAGAGGGCUCAUAGCGCUGACGAAGACAGGUCCACAUCUGGAAGACAGUAGGAAGACCCAGAAACUCAGAAGCAAACUGAGGCAGAACACUAGCAGUGAGAACAGCUGCAGCACGAGCAUCAUCAUCAAGCCACUGAGUGUAAACAGACAAAGCACCAUGAUACGUCUAAAGAGCCUCCUCAUAAGCCAAAGCCCUCUCAUCAUAGGCACGAUCAGCAGUCUCAUCAGCAAUCUUAGCCGCAUCCUUGGCGGCCUGAUUAGCAUCCGUAGGAAGAACUAGUGGAGUCGGCGGAGUAGGGGCCACCGGAGGAACCGGACGUGGCGGACAGCAGACCUCGCCAGAAAGAACACCCCAGAGACGGAUGCCACGCAUGUGAAUGCGCAUGAAGCCAGCGAACUCGGUGUAGUUAGUACCAUCGAAGAUCACCGGACAGCGAGGGACAGAAACAUAGCCCGAUGCAGCAGACAUUUUUUUAGGAGAGACCCGUAAUCAGGGGAACACCGGACGGCAGGCGGAGGACCACGGGAGACCACGAAUCCGGGCGGGAGGGGCGGACGACCACGGACGGGUCGCGGCGGCCGAGCACGGGGAGCGCGGUGCGGGGGCGCGCGAGGGAGAGCACAAGGUCCCGCGGGUCACGAUGGCCGAGCACGGGGAGAGCAGACCGAGGCAGGGCGCCGAGACGAGCGGGAGCUUCGGCGGCGGCCGACUUCGAGCGGGAGCGAGGCGACCGAUGUAGGGCGCCGAGACGAGCGGGAUCGAGGCGACCGAUGCAGGGCGCCGAGACGAGCGGGAGCGCAACGGGACACCAAGGCUGGCGGCUGACGAGCGGGGGCGCAGAGGGAGCUGCGCACGGCGCAUGACGAGGAGGCCUUCGGGCGGGGAUGCGUCGGCCGGGGCAGCGGAUCGGGCACGAGUUGCGGCGUGCGAAAAAAAAACCUAGAGCUCCAAUAUCAUGUUAGGAAUAAGCAACUUAUAUUCCCAUGAGGCCAUAGGCCAAUAUAUAUACAUGUACAGGUGUGGAACAUAUGCAGAAAACCCAUUAUACAACGGGAUAAAUACAAAGGGGUACAUGACCUAUAUUAUAACUCUAACAGUUCCAUUUGCGAGGCAGCCAUUUUUAGCCACUCAACGAAUAUUUCGAGCAACCUCAGAAAACGAGAAAAAAAAGAUCAUUUUUCUCCUGAUCCUUUCCAUCCGAACUACAAGCAAAGAAAAAAAGGGUCAAAUUUUGUGUAUGCAAAAUCUGCAUUGCACUUAAAAACAGAAGGGUUUAUUUUUCAUUUAUUCAUCGCCAAAUCUGUUGGCGAUUACACAAGAACAUACACGGCUGGGGAAAGAAACGCACUACAGAGAUGUCUCAUCAGACUCGGCAAGACGAAGACACAACUAUAGCAUACUUUCAGGUUGCAGAACUCGCACACAUUAACCAAACUGGCUCCAACCCUGAUGAUCAUUCGCAGAGACGCAUUCACUCAGCCGGAGAUCUGGAUGGCCUUCACCUCGGGCUUCUUGACCUCGGCCUUGGGCACGGUGACGGUGAGCACACCGUUCUCCAGCCCGGCCUUCACCUCCUCCACCUUGGCGUCCUCCGGCAGCCGGAACCGCCUGACGAACUUGCCGCUGCUGCGCUCCACGCGGUGCCACUUGUCGUUCUUGUCCUCCUUUUCCUUGGUGCGCUCGCCGCUGACGACGAGCACGUUGCCGUCCUCCACCUCCACCUUGACCUCCUCCUUCUUCACGCCUGGAAGGUCGGCCUUGAAGACGUGCGCCUCGGGGGUCUCCUUCCAGUCCAUGCGAGCAUUGGCGAACGCGGCCGUCUCGCUGCUGCCACCUGAGAUCGCCGGGACGAUGGAGCGGAAGGUGUCGAAGGGGUCCGCCCAGAGGUCGGCGAAGGGGUCGAAGACGUUGCUCCGCCGCACGAUCGACAUUGCUGGUGUUGAUUGCUUCGGGUUGUGAGCUCAGAAAAUUCUGUAUCGGAUCGUUGGUAGGAAUAUGAUACUGCUGGCUUUUGCUUGACACUGAUUUGAGUUGGGAUGGAGGCCGAUGGGAGGCGGUACUUAUAGCGUCGCAGGUGAUGCUCUUGAAGCGUCUCGAGGUCUCUCCAGUGGACGGGCGUUUGGUGGUACUUUAUCGCUUUCCAGCUCGGCUGGGCGCUUCCUUUUCUUUCUACUUUCAGCCCAUGAAGGUCCUACCGUGUUCUAGAGUACUCUCCUGCUUUGGUGUUGGCGGGGCUUCUCCAUUAUUUUUCUGUGCACAGCAACAGCACCCCGGUGAGUAGUCUGGAAGAUGCGGAAAUCCGUUGGUGCUCCUUGGUGGAUGUUCACAAUUUUUUAAAAACAUUCACAAAGUAAAACAAUGUUUGUAAAUUAUAAAUACUUUACAAAUAUGAAUAAAAUAACCUCAAAUUCUAUAAAAUUCUUCACGAGUUUUAGAAUUUCAAGAUUUUUUUGUAGAUGGUCGUGGAUUUUAAUCAAUGUUUUUGUAAUUAAAAUUUUGUAAUUUUCUUUUCAUUAAUGUGAAAACCCCUUCAUGGAUUUUAAAAAUUGUUCACAGUUUCGAAGAAAUAUUUCUUAAUUUGAAAAAACAUCUGAAUUUAAAUUGUGUCCAUAAUUUUAAAAAAUAUUCAUGAAUUAAGAAAAUAAAUGGAAAAUGAAACAUUAAAAAUGGUAGAGAAAAAAGAUAACAAAUUGAACGGAACCUCCCCAAAAUUGGAAGGACCGGGCUACAUGGCCAACCCAAUGCGCUUGCGAGGGUCAGCAUUUGCUCUACCGCCUCCAAUAUGCGCAGAAUGUGAAUUGCCAUACAUACUCUCGAAAGGAAAGAUAUAAUUGAUAUAUGAAAACCGAAGAAUGGUGGCGCAAAGCGCACAUUACCCUCUAGUGUAAUGUAUUUCCCAUAGUAUAUCAAAGUUAACACACAUCGUCACUCUAACUUCACGCCCUUUACAGUUAUACGAUAGAGUCAAAUAUUUUGUCCACGUUUAACUUAAGCAAUAAUGUACACAUCGCCGGGUAAAACGAUGAUAGAUACAAAUGCAAAAACAAUAUUAUUCACGCCAUCGAAAUAAAAGCGGAAUUGUAGCGACAUGGGUCCCACGCGGAAGCUACUUGCACUCUCACUCCGCAAAUGUCAUCCUUGGCGCGAUUGUUCCUAGCAGAAUAGUUGAUUUCACAACAUUUGAAUCAUGUAACUAUGCCCUUCAGUUCUACAUACCGUGUGGUUUUGGUCUCUCGAAGUGUAUUUUAUCAAAGUUGUGUUGAUGUGUGGGCUCGUCGCGAUAGUGUGGCUCUCACAUCGCCAUUUUUCCUUCAGAAAUAUCCAUUAGUUCUUUUUAAAGCAUAUAUAAAAGCUAGAGAAAAGAUCUAAUAAGUCAAGAAAACAUCAAAAUCAAAAAUUAAAUAAAAGCCAUAUGGUUUUCAAUAAUUUUCUUAUUUUCUCUCUAGUUUGUGGACCAUGAAUUUUAUAUUUGGAGUAAGUAUUUUUUCCCUUUCUAAAGAAAAUAAAUUUUACAUUCAUUUUGUGUAUUUAUCCUCUUUACUCCAUUUUUGCACCUUCUUAUUCAAUUUUCUGUUUGUUGGCCUUUUCGUGCUUGGAUGAUAUGUUAUUGAAAAAACUAGACGGUAUCAAUGAGCUUGGAACCAAAAAUGCAGCUGCCUCACGUUAAUUUUAUGGUGUCUUGAGUUAACAAUAUAUAUUUUUGGAAAAAUUAAAGUUAACCAUUGGUCCACCUAUUUCAUGCCUAAUUUUAUGACUUAAUAAAGAAAAAAAACCCAGAAACAGUCAGUCAUUAGGAGGUCUCCUUAGAUCGCUUCUUCCACCUGUAGCAGCACAGUCCCAAUUGAAACAGAAUCAGCAUUGAAACCGCCCACGCCACGCUAACCAUGUUGGAUCCACGGCAAGGAGAGCCGCUCUGCGAAGCAGAGGAACAUCGAUCGCAUUGCCCCGACUAACCAUCCCUGGGAUCUCCAUGCAACAGUUGCCCUCUUCCACCGUUGAGACUACACGUAGGAUGGUGUUUUGGUGAUUCCCCGAAAGGCAAACCUCGCGACCAGCGUGGAAAGUGAAGAAAAUAUGCCCUAAAGGCAAUAAUAAAGUUAUUAUUUAUUUCCUUACAUCAUGAUAAAUGUUUAUUAUUCACGCUAGAAUUGUAUUAACCGGAAACUUAGUACAUGUGUGAAUACGUAGACAAACAGAGUGUCCCUAGUAUACCUCUACUUGACUAGCUCGUUAAUCAAAGAUGGUUAAGUUUCCUAGCCAUAGACAUGUGUUGUCAUUUGAUGAACGGGAUCACAUCAUUAAAGAAUGAUGUGAUGGACAAGACCCAUCCGUUAGCUUAGCACUGUGAUCGUUUAGUUUAUUGCUAUUGCUUUCUUCAUGACUUAUACAUGUUCCUAUGACUAUGAGAUUAUGCAACUCCCGAAUAGCGGAGGAACACUUAGUGUGCUAUCAAACGUGACAACGUAACUGGGUGAUUAUAAAGAUGCUCUACAGGUGUCUCCGAUGGUGUUUGUUGGGUUGGCAUAGAUCGAGAUUAGAAUUUGUCACUCCAUGUUUCGGAGAGGUAUCUCUGGGCCCUCUCGGUAAUGCACAUCACUAUAAGCCUUGCAAGCAAUGUGACUAAUGAGUUAGUCACGGGAUGAUGCACUACGGAACGAGUAAAGAGACUUGCCGGUAACGAGAUUGAACUAAGUAUGGUGAUACCGACGAUCAAAUCUCCGAUGACAAAGGGAACAACGUAUGUUGUUAUGCGGUUUGACCGAUAAUGAUCUUCGUAGAAUAUGUAGGAGCCAAUAUGAGCAUGCAGGUUCCGCUAUUGGUUAUUGACCGGAGAUGUGUCUCGGUCAUGUCGACAUAGUUAUCGAACCCGUAGGGUCCGCACGCUUAACGUUCGAUGACGAUCGGUAUUAUGAGUUUAUGUGUUUUGAUGUACCGAAGGUUAUUCGGAGUCCCGGAUGAGAUCACGGACAUAACGAGGAGUCUCUAAAUGGUCGAGACAUAAAGGUUCCGGGGGUCACCGGAUAAAUACCGGAGUACCGGGGAGUUACCGGAACCCCCCGGGCGGUCAAUGGGCCUUCAUGGGCCUUAGUGGAAAUAGAGGGCAGCAAGGGAGCUGUGGGGCGCGUCCCCCUUAGGCCCAAACCGAAUUGGUUAGGGCUUGGGGGGACCGGCCCCCUCUUUCCUUCUCCCCUCUUCCUCUUUCCUUCCCCUCCUAGUUGGACUAGGAAAAGGGGAACCUACUCCUAGUAGGAGUAGGAUUCCCCCCUUGGGGCGCACCCUAUGAGGCCGCCGGCCCCCUCCCCUUGCUCCUUUAUAUACGGGGGAGGCGGCACCCCAUAGACACACAAGUUGANNNNNNNNNNNNNNNNNNNNNNNNNNNNNNNNNNNNNNNNNNNNNNNNNNNNNNNNNNNNNNNNNNNNNNNNNNNNNNNNNNNNNNNNNNNNNNNNNNNNNNNNNNNNNNNNNNNNNNNNNNNNNNNNNNNNNNNNNNNNNNNNNNNNNNNNNNNNNNNNNNNNNNNNNNNNNNNNNNNNNNNNNNNNNNNNNNNNNNNNNNNNNNNNNNNNNNNNNNNNNNNNNNNNNNNNNNNNNNNNNNNNNNNNNNNNNNNNNNNNNNNNNNNNNNNNNNNNNNNNNNNNNNNNNNNNNNNNNNNNNNNNNNNNNNNNNNNNNNNNNNNUCCACCUCGGUCAUAUCGUUGUAGUGCUUAGGCGAAGCCCUGCGUCGGUAACUUCAUCAUCACCGUCAUCACGCCGUCGUGCUGACGAAACUCUCCCUCGGCCUCAACUGGAUCAAGAGUACGAGGGACAUCACCGAGUUGAACGUGUGCAAAUAGCGGAGGUGCCCGUGCAUGCAAUGUACAUAAAAAGAACAUAGAUCAUCACACAAACAUAGAAUCAGAAAGAGGAAUGCACAUUUCGGUCACCAAAAGAUCACCGACGGAUGUCCAAAAGAUCGCCACAGUUCACAUAAUUCAGAUAAACGACGGACAAAUUUAAACUAGAUUACUAAAAACUUGAAAUUGAAGAUGGAGGCAGCGGAGAUUCACCACUUCCUCGCCGGCCCUUUGCCCUUCCGGUCGCCUACGCAGCUGUAGGCAUCGGCGGCUGGUAGCGGAUCGUCCGAGUCGUCCGACGAGGAGCUGUGGCCGCCGUCGUCAUCGAAGGUGUCGGAGAGGAUGACGAGCCCUUUUAGCCGCCGGACCUCCCUGUCCUGCUGCCGCUUGAGCUUCGCGAUACGAGCCACCUCCGUCGCUGCCUCCGCCGCCUCGCGCUCAGACUGCUCAAUGGCAAUCUGGAGUGCCUUGGCGUUCUUCCACCGGAGCCGCCGCGCGUCCGUCACCACGGUCGUAAGCGACCGGCGGUAGACCCAUUCGAGGAGCUGCGCGUCCUCGUCGGGCUUCGCCUCCAUCCCGUGGCGGUGGCGCACGGACUGCUCUGCCUCCUUCCUCCUCCUUUGCUGCUAUCGCUCGCGACAGGGUGCCACACGCCCCUGAUUCCGGCGUGCGCGUCCGGGCCGGCGGGGCAGGCACAAGCACCCAUCGCUACCCACGUGGGGGAGAAGCAGCGGCGGGUGCAGGGCGGUGUAGGGGAGGCGCAGAUUCCGUUAGCCACCGGUCGAAGCUGCGCACGGGCCGGGAGGGGCCAUCGUCGGCGUCCAAGCUGCGCCGACGGGGAGUUGCGUCUGCUACGAGGCUACAGAUCCAGUGCUGCCCUCGGUCUCCACCUUGGACCGCUCCAAGGCGAUGCGGAGGGCAAGCUCAUAGUCCGGAUCCAGGUCGGAGUCGGAGCGGCUGGUGGAACUCGACAUUGUGCCUGAUUCGAUCGAAACGGUGCGGGGAGAGGAGAGGAUGGAGCGGGAGAGGAGAGUGAGUGAGCCAGGGUUUCGGAGCGAUGAGCCGGAUGAGUUUUUUUGUGGGACAGCCCUGGGGGAGGUGGUGGGCCGGGCUUGUCACGCAAACGCGCCCGGACGUGCCCUGGCCACCCCAUAUCCGCCCCAUAUUUGGGCUGGAUAUGAGGGGUGUCAGUCAGCCCGGGCAUUUGACGCGUCCGUCUGGGUCAAAAAAAUCGUGACCGGUCAGUACCCAGGCGGACAGUCCACGCGUUUGAGGCCAAUUUGGGGCGCCCAGCUGAAGUGCUUCGUUGGUCCAUAUGAAAUGCUUAGGACACACAUUGAAUUAGAUGAGAGAAAAUUAUUCAGUACUAUGCAUGCUUCCAGUGCAUGCUUUCUUCAGUUUUGGAAUAGAAAUCAAAGAAUAUGGAGGAAGCACAAAAAGAUGAUCAACGAGAUGGCGUGAUUUGUGGGGUAGUUGCCAGGAAAGAAACUGCAUGCAAACUGCCUACAAGGCCCCAGUUGUAUUAUCCCAUCGUACGCAUUCAACUAGCCAACGGAAGGAGCUAAUCCCACGCGGCCUUAAACAUAAGAUCAACGUCAAUUAAUCUUGCUUUCUAUCCCACGACAUAGCUGAUGCCUAGUGCCCUGAUGACAGAUUUACCCUUUCAUAAGUUAAGUGGUUCCACCUAAAUUUUGUAAUGGUCCCACCAUUACAUGUAAUUUCUCGUAAUUUCAAUUUCGUAACUCCUAUUUUUUCACCGUCAGAUUAGGCUGGAUGGACGGUCCUAAAAUCGCCAAUCACCAUAACAGUUAUAUUGAGAAAUACCUUCAAUUCUUUGAUAGUUUUCUCUUGAAAAGUACAAUUUUUUUUUAUCAGUGCACACCCCCAUAUAAUCACACUUGUUAACUCAAACGUGACAUCUCAUCUAGUGAAGUCCAAAUGUAAGACUUGAUCACUACUGGGUUGGAAAUAUACUAAUUCAGUCUAAGCAAAUCUUGAUCUUUAAACUACUCUUUCCCAUGUGAACGAGGAGGAUGUUUAGAUGAGAGAACUUAGAAGCUCAAUUGUUUUUGGCAGAACACGUUCAUUACACUAUCUCUUUUAGUUGCAAUUAAAACACUGAAAAUACAUAUUUGAUUUAUCGGAGUAUUACCUUGCCUAUAUCAAUACUAUUCCCUCCGACCGGAAUAACUUGUCACAAAAAAUACAUGUAUCUAGAACUAAAAUACAUCUAGAUGCAUCCAUUUCUCCGAUAAGUAAUUCCGGACGGAAGGAGUACUAUAUACGUACCAGUUUUGAAUGGAACUCAAGCGGCAACCUUAACCAUUAGUCUUCUGUAUAUUUGAUGGUUGCGAGUUAUGGGAUUCAUAGUGAACAGUGGCCUGUCGUUGCCUCCACCGUGUUCUAGAAACACCUCUUCGUCCUUUCUCAAAAAAAAAGCAGGCCCAUGCCUGUUGGGCCGAGUUGUGUACGCGCUAAGCAGAUGGGGAUUGCAUCUGUGCAAAUUUCUACAUUUUCACUUUUAGACUUCGACCAAGUCCAAUAAUGGUAUCUCCAGGACAAAGGAAAAAAUCCACGAAGAUUGACAUCCAUUGCACUUCAACUCUUGCUGAUUUCCAACAUGAUGAUGGUUUUGACAACAGAAUCAAAUGAAACAUACAUCACUAACAAAUUCCAGUGAUCAUUGAAAGCUUCCACUGUGGCGUCAUAAGAUGCACCAUCGAGUAGAUAGACUCUUAAAUUGUGAAUGUGGGGGAAUAUCGGGAUAUUUGUAGCUACAUAUGCAUAUGGAAAUACCAUCCUAGUCAUGUUGCAUUCGUCGUAUUCGAUGAUAAACCCCAAAGCUCUCCACAAUCGAUCAGUAUGAACGGUAAUUCUGGUGACUCCGACUACUGCUUGCAAGACCUGUACCACGACCCUACUUCUUUCUGUUAGGGAAUGCAGUAAUUUCAAAAAAAUUACUACACACACGCAAGAUCCAUCUAGGUGAUGCAUAGCAACGAGAGGGGAGAGUGUUGUCUACGUACCCUCGUAGACCGAAAGCAGAAGCGUUUAGUAACGCAGUUGAUGUAGUCGAACGUCUUCGCGAUCCAACCGAUCCAAGUACCGAACGCACGGCACCUCCGCUAUCUGCACACGUUCAGCUCGGUGAUGUCCCUCGUACUCUUGAUCCAGUUGAGGCCGAGGGAGAGUUUCGUCAGCACGACGGCGUGAUGACGGUGAUGAUGAAGUUGCCGACGCAGGGCUUCGCCUAAGCACUACAACGAUAUGACCGAGGUGGNNNNNNNNNNNNNNNNNNNNNNNNNNNNNNNNNNNNNNNNNNNNNNNNNNNNNNNNNNNNNNNNNNNNNNNNNNNNNNNNNNNNNNNNNNNNNNNNNNNNNNNNNNNNNNNNNNNNNNNNNNNNNNNNNNNNNNNNNNNNNNNNNNNNNNNNNNNNNNNNNNNNNNNNNNNNNNNNNNNNNNNNNNNNNNNNNNNNNNNNNNNNNNNNNNNNNNNNNNNNNNNNNNNNNNNNNNNNNNNNNNNNNNNNNNNNNNNNNNNNNNNNNNNNNNNNNNNNNNNNNNNNNNNNNNNNNNNNNNNNNNNNNNNNNNNNNNNNNNNNNNNNNNNNNNNNNNNNNNNNNNNNNNNNNNNNNNNNNNNNNNNNNNNNNNNNNNNNNNNNNNNNNNNNNNNNNNNNNNNNNNGUGUCUAUGGGGUGCCCCCUCCCCCGUAUAUAAAGGAGCAAGGGGAGGGGGCCGGCGGCCUCAUAGGGUGCGCCCCAAGGGGGGAAUCCUACUCCUACUAGGAGUAGGUUCCCCUUUUCCUAGUCCAACUAGGAGGGGAAGGAAAGAGGAAGAGGGGAGAAGGAAAGAGGGGGCCGGUCCCCCCAAGCCCUAACCAAUUCGGUUUGGGCCUAAGGGGGACGCGCCCCACAGCUCCCUUGCUGCCCUCUAUUUCCACUAAGGCCCAUGAAGGCCCAUUGACCGCCCGGGGGGUUCCGGUAACUCCCCGGUACUCCGGUAUUUAUCCGAUGACCCCCGGAACCUUUAUGUCUCGACCAUUUAGAGACUCCUCGUUAUGUCCGUGAUCUCAUCCGGGACUCCGAAUAACCUUCGGUACAUCAAAACACAUAAACUCAUAAUACCGAUCGUCAUCGAACGUUAAGCGUGCGGACCCUACGGGUUCGAUAACUAUGUCGACAUGACCGAGACACAUCUCCGGUCAAUAACCAAUAGCGGAACCUGCAUGCUCAUAUUGGCUCCUACAUAUUCUACGAAGAUCAUUAUCGGUCAAACCGCAUAACAACAUACGUUGUUCCCUUUGUCAUCGGAGAUUUGAUCGUCGGUAUCACCAUACUUAGUUCAAUCUCGUUACCGGCAAGUCUCUUUACUCGUUCCGUAGUGCAUCAUCCCGUGACUAACUCAUUAGUCACAUUGCUUGCAAGGCUUAUAGUGAUGUGCAUUACCGAGAGGGCCCAGAGAUACCUCUCCGAAACAUGGAGUGACAAAUUCUAAUCUCGAUCUAUGCCAACCCAACAAACACCAUCGGAGACACCUGUAGAGCAUCUUUAUAAUCACCCAGUUACGUUGUCACGUUUGAUAGCACACUAAGUGUUCCUCCGCUAUUCGGGAGUUGCAUAAUCUCAUAGUCAUAGGAACAUGUAUAAGUCAUGAAGAAAGCAAUAGCAAUAAACUAAACGAUCACAGUGCUAAGCUAACGGAUGGGUCUUGUCCAUCACAUCAUUCUUUAAUGAUGUGAUCCCGUUCAUCAAAUGACAACACAUGUCUAUGGCUAGGAAACUUAACCAUCUUUGAUUAACGAGCUAGUCAAGUAGAGGUAUACUAGGGACACUCUGUUUGUCUACGUAUUCACACAUGUACUAAGUUUCCGGUUAAUACAAUUCUAGCGUGAAUAAUAAACAUUUAUCAUGAUGUAAGGAAAUAAAUAAUAACUUUAUUAUUGCCUUUAGGGCAUAUUUUCUUCACUUUCCACGCUGGUCGCGAGGUUUGCCUUUCGGGGAAUCACCAAAACACCAUCCUACGUGUAGUCUCAACGGUGGAAGAGGGCAACUGUUGCAUGGAGAUCCCAGGGAUGGUUAGUCGGGGCAAUGCGAUCGAUGUUCCUCUGCUUCGCAGAGCGGCUCUCCUUGCCGUGGAUCCAACAUGGUUAGCGUGGCGUGGGCGGUUUCAAUGCUGAUUCUGUUUCAAUUGGGACUGUGCUGCUACAGGUGGAAGAAGCGAUCUAAGGAGACCUCCUAAUGACUGACUGUUUCUGGGUUUUUUUUCUUUAUUAAGUCAUAAAAUUAGGCAUGAAAUAGGUGGACCAAUGGUUAACUUUAAUUUUUCCAAAAAUAUAUAUUGUUAACUCAAGACACCAUAAAAUUAACGUGAGGCAGCUGCAUUUUUGGUUCCAAGCUCAUUGAUACCGUCUAGUUUUUUCAAUAACAUAUCAUCCAAGCACGAAAAGGCCAACAAACAGAAAAUUGAAUAAGAAGGUGCAAAAAUGGAGUAAAGAGGAUAAAUACACAAAAUGAAUGUAAAAUUUAUUUUCUUUAGAAAGGGAAAAAAUACUUACUCCAAAUAUAAAAUUCAUGGUCCACAAACUAGAGAGAAAAUAAGAAAAUUAUUGAAAACCAUAUGGCUUUUAUUUAAUUUUUGAUUUUGAUGUUUUCUUGACUUAUUAGAUCUUUUCUCUAGCUUUUAUAUAUGCUUUAAAAAGAACUAAUGGAUAUUUCUGAAGGAAAAAUGGCGAUGUGAGAGCCACACUAUCGCGACGAGCCCACACAUCAACACAACUUUGAUAAAAUACACUUCGAGAGACCAAAACCACACGGUAUGUAGAACUGAAGGGCAUAGUUACAUGAUUCAAAUGUUGUGAAAUCAACUAUUCUGCUAGGAACAAUCGCGCCAAGGAUGACAUUUGCGGAGUGAGAGUGCAAGUAGCUUCCGCGUGGGACCCAUGUCGCUACAAUUCCGCUUUUAUUUCGAUGGCGUGAAUAAUAUUGUUUUUGCAUUUGUAUCUAUCAUCGUUUUACCCGGCGAUGUGUACAUUAUUGCUUAAGUUAAACGUGGACAAAAUAUUUGACUCUAUCGUAUAACUGUAAAGGGCGUGAAGUUAGAGUGACGAUGUGUGUUAACUUUGAUAUACUAUGGGAAAUACAUUACACUAGAGGGUAAUGUGCGCUUUGCGCCACCAUUCUUCGGUUUUCAUAUAUCAAUUAUAUCUUUCCUUUCGAGAGUAUGUAUGGCAAUUCACAUUCUGCGCAUAUUGGAGGCGGUAGAGCAAAUGCUGACCCUCGCAAGCGCAUUGGGUUGGCCAUGUAGCCCGGUCCUUCCAAUUUUGGGGAGGUUCCGUUCAAUUUGUUAUCUUUUUUCUCUACCAUUUUUAAUGUUUCAUUUUCCAUUUAUUUUCUUAAUUCAUGAAUAUUUUUUAAAAUUAUGGACACAAUUUAAAUUCAGAUGUUUUUUCAAAUUAAGAAAUAUUUCUUCGAAACUGUGAACAAUUUUUAAAAUCCAUGAAGGGGUUUUCACAUUAAUGAAAAGAAAAUUACAAAAUUUUAAUUACAAAAACAUUGAUUAAAAUCCACGACCAUCUACAAAAAAAUCUUGAAAUUCUAAAACUCGUGAAGAAUUUUAUAGAAUUUGAGGUUAUUUUAUUCAUAUUUGUAAAGUAUUUAUAAUUUACAAACAUUGUUUUACUUUGUGAAUGUUUUUAAAAAAUUGUGAACAUCCACCAAGGAGCACCAACGGAUUUCCGCAUCUUCCAGACUACUCACCGGGGUGCUGUUGCUGUGCACAGAAAAAUAAUGGAGAAGCCCCGCCAACACCAAAGCAGGAGAGUACUCUAGAACACGGUAGGACCUUCAUGGGCUGAAAGUAGAAAGAAAAGGAAGCGCCCAGCCGAGCUGGAAAGCGAUAAAGUACCACCAAACGCCCGUCCACUGGAGAGACCUCGAGACGCUUCAAGAGCAUCACCUGCGACGCUAUAAGUACCGCCUCCCAUCGGCCUCCAUCCCAACUCAAAUCAGUGUCAAGCAAAAGCCAGCAGUAUCAUAUUCCUACCAACGAUCCGAUACAGAAUUUUCUGAGCUCACAACCCGAAGCAAUCAACACCAGCAAUGUCGAUCGUGCGGCGGAGCAACGUCUUCGACCCCUUCGCCGACCUCUGGGCGGACCCCUUCGACACCUUCCGCUCCAUCGUCCCGGCGAUCUCAGGUGGCAGCAGCGAGACGGCCGCGUUCGCCAAUGCUCGCAUGGACUGGAAGGAGACCCCCGAGGCGCACGUCUUCAAGGCCGACCUUCCAGGCGUGAAGAAGGAGGAGGUCAAGGUGGAGGUGGAGGACGGCAACGUGCUCGUCGUCAGCGGCGAGCGCACCAAGGAAAAGGAGGACAAGAACGACAAGUGGCACCGCGUGGAGCGCAGCAGCGGCAAGUUCGUCAGGCGGUUCCGGCUGCCGGAGGACGCCAAGGUGGAGGAGGUGAAGGCCGGGCUGGAGAACGGUGUGCUCACCGUCACCGUGCCCAAGGCCGAGGUCAAGAAGCCCGAGGUGAAGGCCAUCCAGAUCUCCGGCUGAGUGAAUGCGUCUCUGCGAAUGAUCAUCAGGGUUGGAGCCAGUUUGGUUAAUGUGUGCGAGUUCUGCAACCUGAAAGUAUGCUAUAGUUGUGUCUUCGUCUUGCCGAGUCUGAUGAGACAUCUCUGUAGUGCGUUUCUUUCCCCAGCCGUGUAUGUUCUUGUGUAAUCGCCAACAGAUUUGGCGAUGAAUAAAUGAAAAAUAAACCCUUCUGUUUUUAAGUGCAAUGCAGAUUUUGCAUACACAAAAUUUGACCCUUUUUUUCUUUGCUUGUAGUUCGGAUGGAAAGGAUCAGGAGAAAAAUGAUCUUUUUUUUCUCGUUUUCUGAGGUUGCUCGAAAUAUUCGUUGAGUGGCUAAAAAUGGCUGCCUCGCAAAUGGGAACUGUUAGAGUUAUAAUAUAGAUCAUGUACCCCUUUGUAUUUAUCCCGUUGUAUAAUGGGUUUCCUGCAUAUGU